UACGAAGGGGGCUAGCGUUGUUCGGAUUUACUGGGCGUAAAGCGCACGUAGGCGGAUCGUUAAGUCAGGGGUGAAAUCCUGGAGCUCAACUCCAGAACUGCCUUUGAUACUGGCGAUCUUGAGUCCGGAAGAGGUGAGUGGAACUCCUAGUGUAGAGGUGGAAUUCGUAGAUAUUCGGAAGAACACCAGUGGCGAAGGCGACUCACUGGACAGGUAUUGACGCUGAGGUGCGAAAGCGUGGGGAGCAAACGGG
rnacentral:rRNA from 1 species